rnacentral:rRNA from 1 species
UACGAAGGGGGCUAGCGUUGCUCGGAAUGACUGGGCGUAAAGGGCGCGUAGGCGGAGUGCUUUGUCGGGCGUGAAAUUCCAGGGCUCAACCUUGGGGCUGCGUUCGAGACGGGUGCUCUUGAGUUUGGAAGAGGGUCGUGGAAUUCCCAGUGUAGUGGUGGGAAUGCGUAGAUAUCGGGAGGAACACCAGUGGCGAAGGCGGCCUGCUGGGCAGUAGCUGACGCUGAGGCGGCGAACAGCGGUGGGGAGCAAACAGGG